GAUCCUGCUCAGGACGAACGCUGGCGGCGUGCUUAACACAUGCAAGUCGAACGAAGAGCGAUGGAAGCUUGCUUCUAUCAAUCUUAGUGGCGAACGGGUGAGUAACGCGUAAUCAACCUGCCCUUCAGAGGGGGACAACGAGUUGGAAACGACUGCUAAUACCGCAUACGAUCCAAUCUCGGCAUCGAGACUGGAUGAAAGGUGGCCUCUAUUUAUAAGCUAUCACUGAAGGAGGGG
rnacentral:rRNA from 1 species